rnacentral:rRNA from 1 species
AUUGAACGCUGGCGGCAGGCUUAACACAUGCAAGUCGAGCGGGGGAAGGUAGCUUGCUACCGGACCUAGCGGCGGACGGGUGAGUAAUGCUUAGGAAUCUGCCUAUUAGUAGGGGACAACAUCUGGAAAGGGAUGCUAAUACCGCAUACGUCCUACGGGAGAAAGCAGGGGAUCUUUGGACCUUGGGCUAAUAGAUGAGCCUAAGUCGGGUUAGCUAGUUGGUGGGGUAAAGGCCUACCAAGGCGACGGUCUGUAGCGGGUCUGAGAGGAUGAGCCGCCACACUGGGACUGAGACACGGCCCAGACUCCUACGGGAGGCAGCAGUGGGGAAUAGUGGACAAUGGGGGGAACCCUGAUCCAGCCAUGCCGCGUGUGUGAAGAAGGCCUUAUGGUUGUAAAGCACUUUAAGCGAGGAGGAGGCUACUUUAGUUAAUACCUAGAGAUAGUGGACGUUACUCGCAGAAUAAGCACCGGCUAACUCUGUGCCAGCAGCCGCAGUAA